rnacentral:rRNA from 1 species
UUCCAGACUCCUACGGGAGGCAGCAGUGGGGAAUAUUGCACAAUGGGGGGAACCCUGAUGCAGCGACGCCGCGUGAGUGAAGAAGUAUUUCGGUAUGUAAAGCUCUAUCAGCAGGGAAGAAAAUGACGGUACCUGACUAAGAGGCCCCGGCUAACUACGUGCCAGCAGCCGCGGUAAUACGUAGGGGGCAAGCGUUAUCCGGAUUUACUGGGUGUAAAGGGAGCGUAGACGGUGAAGCAAGUCUGAAGUGAAAGGCGGGGGCUCAACCCCCGGACUGCUUUGGAAACUGUUUGACUGGAGUGCAGGAGAGGUAAGUGGAAUUCCUAGUGUAGCGGUGAAAUGCGUAGAUAUUAGGAGGAACACCAGUGGCGAAGGCGGCCUGCUGGACGAUGACUGACGUUGAGGCUCGAAAGCGUGGGGAGCAAACAGGAUUAGAUACCCCUGUAUG